CACGUAGUUAGCUGUGACUUUCUGGUUGAAUACCGUCACUGCGUGAACAGUUACUCUCACGCACGUUCUUCUUCAACAACAGAGUUUUACGAGCCGAAACCCUUCUUCACUCACGCGGUGUUGCUCCAUCAGGCUUGCGCCCAUUGUGGAAGAUUCCCUACUGCUGCCUCCCGUAGGAGUAUGGACCGUGUCUCAGUUCCAUUGUGGCCGAUCAGUCUCUCAACUCGGCUAUGCAUCAUUGCCUUGGUAAGCCGUUACCUUACCAACUAGCUAAUGCACCGCGGGCCCAUCCUGGAGUGAUAGCCGAAGCCAUCUUUGAAGUCAAAACCAUGUGGUUUUGACUAUUAUGCGGUAUUAGCAUCUGUUUCCAAAUGUUAUCCCCCGCUCCAGGGCAGGUUGCCCACGUGUUACUCACCCGUCCGCCGCUCACUGGUAAUCCAUCGUCAAAUCAGUGCAAGCACGUCAUAUCAGUUGGGCCAGUGCC
rnacentral:rRNA from 1 species